rnacentral:rRNA from 1 species
AAGGUGAAGCCACCCUCGGGUGGUAGAAACUGGCGCACGGGUGAGUAACGCGUGGGAAUUUGCCUUGGGGUGGGGGAUAACCGCUGGAAACGGCGGCUAAUACCGCAUACGCCCUGCGGGGGAAAGAUUUAUCGCCCUGGGAGAAGCCCGCGUUGGAUUAGCUUGUUGGUGGGGUAAAGGCCCACCAAGGCGACGAUCCAUAGCUGGUCUGAGAGGAUGAUCAGCCACACUGGGACUGAGACACGGCCCAGACUCCUACGGGAGGCAGCAGUGGGGAAUAUUGGACAAUGGGCGAAAGCCUGAUCCAGCCAUGCCGCGUGAGUGAAGAAGGCCUUAGGGUUGUAAAGCUCUUUCACCCGUGAAGAUGAUGACGGUAGCGGGAGAAGAAGCCCCGGCUAACUCCGUGCCAGCAGCCGCGGUAAUACGGAGGGGGCUAGCGUUGUUCAGAAUUACUGGGCGUAAAGGGCGCGUAGGCGGCCUGUCAAGUCAGGGGUGAAAGGCCCGGGCUCAACCCGGGAACUGCCCUUGAAACUGGCAAGCUAGAGUCCGAGAGAGGAUGGCGGAAUUCCCAGUGUAGAGGUGAAAUUCGUAGAUAUUGGGAAGAACACCGGUGGCGAAGGCGGCCAUCUGGCUCGGUACUG